GGAUGAAGUCCUCCACUGUGGGUGGUGGAAGAGGCUUCUUCUACCUCCUCCCCAUAGUUCCUGAAGGCACCAAGACUGUCACAGUAAUUGCCCCUAAAAUGCUCAUAGACUUCUUUGUGGAGAGGAAGAUAAUUUCCUUUGGUGGAUGCAUUGCACAGCUCUUCUUCUACACUUUGUUGGGGCUUCGGAGAUGUUCUUGCUCACAGUGAUGGCCUUUGACCGCUAUGCUGCUAUCUGCCGACCCCUCCACUAUGCUACCAUCAUGAAUCCACGUCUCUGCUGUAUCCUGGUGGCUCUCUCCUGGAUGGGGGGCUUCAUUCAUUCUAUAAUACAGGUGGCUCUCAUUGUUCGACUUCCUUUCUGUGGGCCCAAUGAGUUAGACAGUUACUUCUGUGACAUCACACAGGUUGUCCGGAUUGCCUGUGCCAACACCUUCCCAGAGGAGUUGGUGAUGAUCUGUAGUAGUGGUCUGAUCUCUGUGGUGUGUUUUAUUGCUCUGUUAAUGUCCUAUGCCUUCCUUCUGGCCUUGCUCAAGAAACAUUCAGGCUCAGGUGAGGAUACCAACAGGGCCAUGUCCACCUGCUAUUCCCACAUUACCAUUGUGGUGCUAAUGUUUGGGCCAUCCAUCUACAUUUAUGCUCGCCCAUUUGACUCAUUUUCCCUAGAUAAAGUGGUGUCUGUGUUUCAUACUAUAAUAUUCCCUUUACUUAAUCCCAUUAUUUACACAUUGAGAAACAAGGAAGUAAAGGCAGCCAUGAGGAAGUUGGUCACCAAAUAUAUUUUGUGUAAAGAGAAGUGAAAGAUAGAUUAUACAUUUUAUAGUCCUCCUGAGGAUCAUUGUCCUAAAGCAGGAAGUAUUUGCAGUAAUAAUGCUGCAUUCACUUCCUCCUUUCAUUUGUGUUCUUAAAAUUUUACUAUAAUUUUUCUCUAUUAAUUCCUCUUUAUAUUGAAAAAAUAGAGGCAUUAAGAUGAAAAUAAAUUUACUCACACCUACCCUGAAAUUCCUGACAGAUCAUUAUUAGAAUUUGAGAUAUAAUAAUAAUCUGCUAAAGUACAUUUUAACUAAUUGUUUAUUGAGUAGCUACUCUGCAGAGGCUCUGGCUUUGAGGGGAACACGUUGAGAAAAAUAAAUAAGACAUGGAGACGUGUCCAUUACAAAUAUGAAGUAAAUGGCAAGCAUAUAGAUGCAGCUAGCUUCAAGUUAGCAAAUAAAUAUUGUUGUCAUGUUUCAGUGUUGGCUCAGUGGAAUGGUAUCUGGUAAAUAUCUUGCUGGGUCUGGAAAAACAGAUUAUUUGUCCUUUAUCUCCUCUUAUUUCCAGAGUUGAUGGAAAAUGAGGAUUCAUUUAUACAAGGUAUUUCAGUUUAUAUUUCAGGUGAUGUCCAUUCAACAGUUUGGAGACAGAACUCAAAAUUUUAUCACAUUAUGAAAACAAUUUUUAUGAAUUCAAAGCAGAGUAUAAUUUGGCUGAUACAUGAGAUUCAUGUCAUUCCAGAUGAAGCCUCCAGGCAACUAGCAAUUUUUAUAGCCAGUCCCUACUUACAACAUCCUUCAGAGUGAAAGCAGGCUUGGGGAGAAAGCUUCUAGGUUGACUGGGAUUGGUAGACAUCUAGCCAUGUAAUUUUUUUCUAAACUAUCAUCUCCUUUGCCACUUUUGUAUGUUUUCCAUAAUUGCUAAUUCUGCCUCUCAUGUUAGACUUAAAUUGGCAGGGUGCUGUUUUUGUUAGCACUUAAUUCAGAGUUCUUUGCCACUGAGACACCUAGAUGUAUUGGUUCCCAUGAUCCCUUAGAGAAUUAUUAGGGACUGAUUUCCCGUUCUCAAGCACUAAAAACUCACUCUCCAAGCUUCAGAAUGUAAGAGGUAGAUUAGAACAUUUGAUUUUAUAGGUUUUUUUUAACUUUUUUACUUAAAUUUAUUAGUUUUUAAUUUCAAAACUAGGGAAUCUUUUCAUUGAAGGGCAAGAAUGCAUUGGGUGUAUUAAGCUUUAGUCUUCUUUUUUAAAUUUGAUAAUGUAGUAUGGACUAAAUUUUAAGUGAAUUAGAUCCUUGUCAACAUUGGGAAUGAAUAUAUAAAAAUAAAUGGUAUAACUAUUCCUAGAGUUACUAUUUAUUUACAGAGAUUUUAUUUAUUAAUUGAGGAGGUAAUUUGUGCCAGACCCAGUGUACCUCGGAUGCACAGGAUGGAAUGGUGGUACACAAAGCUUGUUUUUUGCUUUGGGAAUUUUUCCCUAUGGUGACCUUCUUCGAUCUUCAAUGCUGCGUUACUUCUCUUCUAGGAACGCAAAGGCACGGAUUGACGUUAUGAGUCCUGAUUUUUGAGUUGACUUCUCAUCACCUGGAAGUGAAUAAAACAGUAGACUUCUCUAACAUUUUGCAACACAGCAUGAAAAAAUAUAAAGUAAAAAAGAUUUAUAUAUAUAAAAUAUGAUAAAAUGAUGAGUUAUGUUUCUAAAUCUUUUAUCAUCUUACUGUCAUUUCUCUGUAUUUGAUCUAGCUAGACUUCUAUUCAUUUUGUCACUUGUCUUUCAUCAAACUAGGACUGAUGUUCUUGGGAAAGAGACCACUGAUUUGAUAUGCUCUUCAAACACCAGCACACUGUACUAUAGAAGGAUAUUUACUGAAAAUAUUGAAGCUAGUAAUACAAAGGAAAAAGCCAUAAACAUAGUAGUGUGAUAACUAAUUGCUUACUUAGGAAUAUUAUCUGAAAUUAGAAAUUAAUAUCAGUAAAGAAAAAGGGGAACUUUUGGCAAACUCUAGUAAGUAAUAACUGAGCCUGAUUCAUGGAGGACAUAAUUGGAAUAAGGACUGAGAGCAAUUUCACCCCUUGGAGGACAUUUGGAAGUGCCCAGAGACAUUUGUGGUGGUCACAACUGAGGACGUAUAUUGCAUCUUGUACUAUUUAGACAUCUUACAAUGCACAGGACAGCCCCCAGCCCCUGACUCCCACAUGAAUUAUCUGGCCCAAAAUGUCAAUAGUGCCGAGAAUAAAGAACUCCAUCAGGCUGAGAAACCCUGACUUAAAUAAUGGGCAGGGAUAAGGCAGGUUAGUGUAGAAGAAAUAGGUGCUAACCUCAUAUGCAACAUUGUCUCAUUGAAUAUUGUUUCCAAAUAGCUCAGUAUCCUCAGCAGUCAAAUACAAAAUAUGUCUCAGGACUCCUUUUCCCUAUAUAACUCCUACAUUUUCUUUCAGUUACUUUAAAUGUCUUUUAAUCUCUUUUUUUUUCCCUUCAGUCUCUCCUACUCCUCCUCC
rnacentral:sRNA from 1 species